GACGAACGCUGGCGGCGUGCUUAACACAUGCAAGUCGAACGGUGACGAGGAGCUUGCUCCUCUGAUCAGUGGCGAACGGGUGAGUAACACGUGAGCAACCUGCCCCAGACUCUGGGAUAACAGUUGGAAACAGCUGCUAAUACCGGAUACGAGACGGAGAGGCAUCCCUACCGUCUGGAAAGUUUUUCGGUCUGGGAUGGACUCGCGGCCUAUCAGCUAGGUUGGUGAGGUAAUGGCUCACCAAGGCGACGACGGGUAGCCGGCCUGAGAGGGCGACCGGCCACACUGGGACUGAGACACGGCCCAGACUCCUACGGGAGGCAGCAGUGGGGAAUAUUGCACAAUGGGCGAAAGCCUGAUGCAGCGACGCCGCGUGAGGGAUGAAGGCCUUCGGGUUGU
rnacentral:rRNA from 1 species